UACAGAGGUCUCAAGCGUUGUUCGGAUUCAUUGGGCGUAAAGGGUGCGUAGGUGGCGCCGUAAGUCAGGUGUGAAAUCUCGGGGCUCAACCCCGAAACUGCACUUGAUACUGCGGUGCUCGAGUACUGGAGAGGAGAUUGGAAUUUACGGUGUAGCAGUGAAAUGCGUAGAUAUCGUAAGGAAGACCAGUGGCGAAGGCGAAUCUCUGGACAGUUACUGACACUGAGGCAAGCGAAAGGCCAGGGGAGCAAAACGGG
rnacentral:rRNA from 1 species